GUCCCGAGCCCCAGGCCGGGGCGAGGCCCGUUCCAGCGCCUCCUUCCCGCUGAGCCGCGGGCGGGCGGCGCAGGCCCGGGGGGAGGGGGCGCCGCGGCUGGCUGCAGUCCCCCCUGCUGCCGCGCUCCGCGCCCAGCCCGACCGCUUCUGCCCUGCUGCCGCGCGGGAGCCCGGGCACCCGAAGCUGGGGGCGCGGCCGCGCUCGCCUCGCGGGGCCGGGAGCGGACAGGCCCUGCCCUGAAGGGGUGAAGCGGAGGGGAACGUGGGAGGCGGAUCCGGCCCCGGCGGCCGCCCGGCGUCUCAACCCAACGCCCCCUCCCCGCACGCAGCCCCAGGCGGACCCAGGCCCCUGCCCAUGAGGGGUACCCCCGGCUCGGAAGAGUUCCGGUGGCAGGGAGCAGUUCCAGGCAGCGGCGCCGGAGGCAGAGGAAGAAGAGAGAGUGGUCAGCUUGGGCGGCUCGGACCCUCCCCACAGCUUUUGAAGACCGGGGACGCCCCAAAGUGUACGCUUGUCACAGCCGUUCCGCCUGCUGGGACCCCUGCUUGGACGCUUUGCACCUCCUAGGUGGCGGCGCCACCGCCGUGCCACCCGGCUCUUCCGCGAUCUCUCUCUUCCUAGCGGCAGUCACGGCCAAGAAGCUGUGGAUGGCUGCGAUUUUGGUCAAGACUGUUCUUCCAUCUGACCUGACUUGGACCUAAAUAUCCUGAGGAGUAUGGCAGCCGUGUAGGGCCCAAAAGGCUAUAUUUUUUGAGUAAUGCCUAUGUGCCUGAUACUGUGCCGGGAACCGAAGAUACAUGUAUGGGUAAGUCAUAGCUUCUCCUAUGAAGAGGUUCCG